rnacentral:sRNA from 1 species
GGGGGUGCACCGGUUUCGACGAUUGUGAUCAAGGCACUUACUGCAUGUGGGAGUCAAGGUUCCCCAAACUGAGAAAACAAUAACUGCAAUUUUCGAAAGAAAAGAAGAAGAAGUCGAAGAGGCUUCUUUCGCAGAAGCUCUCGCUGCUUAAUUGCGCUUGAGCCGGAACUAAUGGGGUGCUGUUCCUAACUUCAUUACUUCCGUCACAAACAGGGACUUGCUGCUUGAUGUUUCUGGUCUUCGAGCGGGACUUUUUAAUCAGAAUACGGAGAAGACGCUUGUUAUGCUGCUACCUGCUCCCGACAACUACCUCGCAUAACUAAACAUGUAGAUGUAUUUGGCUUCCACUUUCGGACGGGGGUUCAAUUCCCCCCAUCUCCA